CAGUGUUCUAGAUCUUCUCUGAGGUGAGCAUUCAUAUCAGACAUUCUGUCUCUUUGUCUUCUAGGGGAGACUUUGCUGAAGUCCUCUGACCAGCGCUUGUCUGACCUGGCUGCUGUCAUCCUGAGAUCCGCCUUUGCUCAAGUUUCGGGAAUUCCCUUUAUUGUUCGAUUGUGUCGAAGCCUGUUUCCUGGACUUCCUAUUUUCUUCCUUCUUGAUUCGUUCCUUUGUUUUAUGAAGCACACUCCCCAUAGUUUCCUAAAAAUAGUGUGUAGGAGAUUAAUUUUUCCGGUGUCUGAAAAUGUCUUCAUUCUGCACAUAUUCGUAAUUUGUCUGGAUAGGUUUUUGUUAAUCCAGUGGGUUUGGUGGAAUCAGAGGGCUUGCUAUGGAGAAAAAAAAAAAAAAGAAGAAGCCCGAGCAACCUGCUGGCGGAAGAGCGUGGUCAAACUAGCGGGUAGCUGCACGGUUAGCCUUUAUCCCGCAUACAAUGAGGGCAAUCACCGGGGCCUGUAGAAAGAGUAUUGAACUGUCCACACAGGACAUUUUUGUUGAAAGUAGUUCUUUUGAUUUCAUCUUCCCAGCCUAAUGGAAUAAAAACAGACAUUAUGGAACGCAUUCAUCUCAGUUUGAGAGGGACCAUCAUGAAUACCCAGCAACGCGUGCAGUCAUAAAGGUUAUCCAACUGCCGGAAGUGACUUGGAGGGUGAUUGGUGAUCCAAAGGUUGUGAGCGCCUCACCCCAGAUGGGGGGCGGGCAGCUGUCCCGGGAGCAGACCAACGAACGUGCAGAGGGUGUAGAAACAUGCCGUUGCUAAUGGGAGAAUAUUUAACUUCUCAGACAUUGUCACGGGUAGCCACAAACCCCCUCUGUCCAAUUAGCCAAACCUUGUGGGGUUAUCUCAAAGGAAGAAGAAAGGAAAACAAAGUAGAGGAAUCUUGAACUUAUUUUGGCUAUCAG
rnacentral:lncRNA from 1 species